rnacentral:rRNA from 1 species
UGGGCAACCUGCCCUCAGCUCUGGGAUAACUCUGGGAAACCGGGGCUAAUACCGGAUACGACCGUCCCUCGCAUGGGGGUUGGUGGAAAGUUCUUCGGCUGAGGAUGGGCCCGCGGCCUAUCAGCUUGUUGGUGGGGUGAUGGCCUACCAAGGCGACGACGGGUAGCCGGCCUGAGAGGGCGACCGGCCACACUGGGACUGAGACACGGCCCAGACUCCUACGGGAGGCA